rnacentral:piRNA from 1 species
UGAUACCAAGCGCUUACAAUCUGUGAGCCCUU